AUGUCUAAACGACUCUCGGCAACGGAUAUCUCGGCUCUCGCAUCGAUGAAGAACGUAGCGAAAUGCGAUACUUGGUGUGAAUUGCAGGAUCCCGUGAACCAUCGAGUCUUUGAACGCAAGUUGCGCCCGAAGCCAUUAGGCCGAGGGCACGCCUGCCUGGGCGUCACACGUCGUUGCCC
rnacentral:rRNA from 1 species